GGCGAGUGGCGAACGGGUGAGUAAUAUAUANNAACGUGCCCUGGAGUGGGGGAUAACGCAGCGAAAGUUGCNCUAAUACCGCAUACGAUCUAAGGAUGAAAGCGGGGGAUUCGCAAGAACCUCGUGCUCCUGGAGCGGCCGAUAUCUGAUUAGCUAGUUGGUGGGGUAAAGGCCUACCAAGGCAUCGAUCAGUAGCUGGUCUGAGAGGACGACCAGCCACACUGGAACUGAGACACGGUCCAGACUCCUACGGGAGGCAGCAGUGGGGAAUUUUGGACAAUGGGCGAAAGCCUGAUCCAGCAAUGCCGCGUGAGUGAAGAAGGCCUUCGGGUUGUAAAGCUCUUUUGUCAGGGAAGAAACGGUGAAGGCUAAUAUCCUUUGCUAAUGACGGUACCUGAAGAAUAAGCACCGGCUAACUACGUGCCAGCAGCCGCGGUAAUACGUAGGGUGCAAGCGUUAAUCGGAAUUACUGGGCGUAAAGCGUGCGCAGGCGGUUUUGUAAGUCUGUCGUGAAAUCCCCGGGCUCAACCUGGGAAUUGCGAUGGAGACUGCAAGGCUAGAAUCUGGCANAGGGGGGUAGAAUUCCACGUGUAGCANUGAAAUGCNUA
rnacentral:rRNA from 1 species